GGUGGCUCAGUGGUAGAGCGCUUGCCUUGUAUGUGUGAGGCCCUGGGUUCAAUUCCUCAGCACCA
rnacentral:tRNA from 1 species